CAGUAGCCACGGUAAUACGUAGGUGGCAAGCGUUAUCCGGAAUUAUUGGGCGUAAAGCGCGCGUAGGCGGUUUUUUAAGUCUGAUGUGAAAGCCCACGGCUCAACCGUGGAGGGUCAUUGGAAACUGGAAAACUUGAGUGCAGAAGAGGAAAGUGGAAUUCCAUGUGUAGCGGUGAAAUGCGCAGAGAUAUGGAGGAACACCAGUGGCGAAGGCGACUUUCUGGUCUGUAACUGACGCUGAUGUGCGAAAGCGUGGGGAUCAAACAGGAUUAGAUACCCCAGUAGUCCCUGUCACUUAUAC
rnacentral:rRNA from 1 species